GACGAACGCUGGCGGCGUGCUUAACACAUGCAAGUCGAACGGACAGGCCCUGCUCUUGUUGGUUUCUCGAUUGCCGAACGGGUGAGUAACACGUGAGUAACCUGCCCUUGACUUUGUGAUAAAUUCAGGAAACUCCGGCUAAUACCCCAUAGGAUCUCCUGCUGCAUGGUGGGGGUUGGAAAGUUUCGGCGGUUGUGGAUGGACUCGCGGCUUAUCAGCUUGUUGGUGGGGUAGUGGCUUACCAAGGCUUUGACGGGUAGCCGGCAUGAGAGGGUGACCGGCGACAUUGGGACUGAGAUACGGCGCAGACUCCUAUGGGACGCAGCAGUGGGGAAUAUUGCACAGUGGGGGGACGCCUGAUGCAGCAACGCCGCGUGCGGGAUGCCGGCUUUUGGGUUGUAAACCGCUUUCGACUGUGACGAAGCGUGAGUGACGGUAAUGGGUAAAGAAGCACCGGCUAACUACGUG
rnacentral:rRNA from 1 species